GGCAACCCUGGCGGCGAGCGGCGAACGGGUGAGGAAUACAUCGGAACGUGCCCGAGAGUGGGGGAUAACGCCGCGAAAGCGGCGCUAAUACCGCAUAUUCUCCGAGGAGGAAAGUGGGGGACCUGCAAGGGCCUCACGCUCACGGAGCGGCCGAUGUCGGAUUAGCUUGUUGGUGGGGUAAAGGCUUACCAAGGCGACGAUCCGUAGCUGGUCUGAGAGGAUGAUCAGCCACACUGGGACUGAGACACGGCCCAGACUCCUACGGGAGGCAGCAGUGGGGAAUUUUGGACAAUGGGGGCAACCCUGAUCCAGCCAUGCCGCGUGCGGGAAGAAGGCCUUCGGGUUGUAAACCGCUUUUAGUCGGGAAGAAAAGGCGCCACCUAAUACGGGGCGUUCUUGACGGUACCGGCGGAAUAAGCACCGGCUAACUACGUGCCAGCAGCCGCGGUAAUACGUAGGGUGCGAGCGUUAAUCGGAAUUACUGGGCGUAAAGCGUGCGCAGGCGGUUCGUUAAGUCAGAUGUGAAAGCCCCGGGCUCAAUCUGGGAACUGCAUUUGAA
rnacentral:rRNA from 1 species